GUUAGCUCCCUGCUUGUCCAUGAAUUUACUUUAUUAACAUCUUUAGCUUGUCCAUAUGUCAAAAAGCUGAAUAUUCCAAGUGGUGUGGUCGGUGCCUGUUGCCUUGACCUUGCUUAUGAACAUUUCAAGGUACUUUUGANAUUUUCAUUUAAAUGUAGUUGUGUUGAUUUAAGCAUGNCCACUGAAGGUUCUAUAUGAUGUAAUAAUGAUGCAAUUGUAAUCUGAUGCGUGUUAAAUUUGAAGAUAUUUUUGGUCAUGGUGGAAUUGAUGAGUCUAAACUUUUAUAAGAUGUUGAAAGUCUUCAACAUUGUAGACAAUGAAAGUGAUCACAGGUAGACUCGAUAUUGAGCAAUUCAGCAAGUGGAGCACUGUUGAACAAAUGCAUAGGAGCAGCAAAAGAUAAUUUUAUAAAAUUCAAAUUUCAAUAUUCCCUUAUAUUAUUAAUGUGGUUGACAAGUGUGUUUAUGCUUUAUUCAAUUAGUCAUCUAUUGCUCUGUACAGCCUUGACUGAUAAUAGUAUUUUUUACUUGUAUUGCUUGAUGAAUUCUAUAUAUUCAUAUUGAGUUUUACACUGCCUUGUAUGCUAGAAUAUCUGAAAAUAUCAUUUUCCACACAAUUUGUUAUUGAAUUGACAGUGUUUAACAAUUAUUGAAUUGUACAAUUAUAGUUUAGUGCCUAUUUGUUAUAUAUCAUGUUUGUAUUCAUUAGUAUGCAGUGCCUAUUUGUUUUAUGGUAUGCUUGGAUCGAUGUGUGUUUGGUUACAUGAUUCAGAUGAAUUGUACAAUUAUUGGAAUACUAUGCAAUAAUGUCCAAUGAAAAUGGAAUUUAGUUAGUGCUUUGGCUUUUGGUAUUUGUCUGUGUCAUAGUUAGCUUUAUUGGUUGUUGCAAUAAGAUUUAUAUGCAUAGUGUGAGAAGUAUUGGUCCAUUGCAUUUUAUAUAUGGUGUAAAGUAGUAACUGCAUUUUAUAUGUUGCAUUUCAGCAAGCUCCUGAUGCAAAUGAGCCAAAGUCUCCUUUGGGUACAAGACAAUCAUCUGAUGGAAGUAACAUUUAGAAAGUUUAUGAUAUUGUUUUAGNAUAAAACUAUACCUAGUUUAUUAUGAAUUGAGUAACAUUUCUUUCUUUGUAACUACUUUUGUAAUGAGAUUACAUUGACUUUUAGUCUAUCUUGAUGUGACUAUAAAAUUGUUUCUCAAUUUAUUUUUCUAAAUUUCUUUCUAUUCAGGGGCUUUUGUU
rnacentral:lncRNA from 1 species